rnacentral:tRNA from 1 species
GGUGCGUUCCUCUAAUGGUUAGGAGGUCAGUUUCUCAAUCUGAAAAUAGCAGUUCGAUUCUGCUACGCACUACCA